rnacentral:rRNA from 1 species
AAGCGCUUGUGACCAGACUUGGGCGCGGCGGAUCAUCCGGGGUUCUCCCCGGUGCACUUCGCCGCGUUCAGGCCAGCAUCAGUUCGGCGCGGGGGAAAAAGGCUUCGGGAACGUGGCUCCUCCGGGAGUGUUAUAGCCCGUUGCAUAAUUCCCUGCGCUGGACUGAGGACCGCGCAUCUGCAAGGAUGCUGGCGUAAUGGUCACCAGCGA